UGGGGAAUAUUGGACAAUGGGGGAAACCCUGAUCCAGCAAUGCCGCGUGAAUGAUGAAGGCCUUCGGGUUGUAAAGCUCUGUCAGCGGGAACGAAGAAGCCGGUUAAUACCCGGUGGUGACGGUACCCGCAAAGGAAGCACCGGCUAACUCUGUGCCAGCAGCCGCGGUAAUACAGAGGGUGCAAGCGUUAAUCGGAAUUACUGGGCGUAAAGCGCGCGUAGGUGGUUAGUUAAGUUGGAUGUGAAAUCCCCGGGCUCAACCUGGGAACUGCAUUCAAAACUGACUGACUAGAGUAUGGUAGAGGGUGGUGGAAUUUCCUGUGUAGCGGUGAAAUGCGUAGAUAUAGGAAGGAACACCAGUGGCGAAGGCGACCACCUGGACUGAUACUGACACUGAGGUGCGAAAGCGUGGGGAGCAAACAGGAUUAGAUACCCCCGUAGUCCCUGAGCGGGCUGGCAAGGCGCAU
rnacentral:rRNA from 1 species